rnacentral:misc_RNA from 1 species
AACAAGGCGUACCUGCGGACCUGCGGAGGGAUCAUUACAGAGUUGCAAAACUCCCUAAACCAUUGUGAACGUUACCUAAACCGUUGCUUCGGCGGGCGGCCCGGGUCCUUCCCGGCGCCCCUCGGCCCUCGCGGGCGCCCGCCGGAGGUAAACCAAACUAUUGCAUUGUAUGGCCUCUCUGAGUCUUCUGUACUGAAUAAGUCAAAACUUUUAGCAAUGGAUCUCAGAUCGGAAGAGCAC